UGAGGAAUAUUUGUCAAUGGGCGAGAGCCUGAACCAGCCAAGUAGCGUGCAGGAUGACGGCCCUAUGGGUUGUAAACUGCUUUUAUGUGGGGAUAAAGUGCGUGACGUGUCAUGCAUUGCAGGUACCACAUGAAUAAGGACCGGCUAAUUCCGUGCCAGCAGCCGCGGUAAUACGGAAGGUCCGGGCGUUAUCCGGAUUUAUUGGGUUUAAAGGGAGCGUAGGCUGUCUAUUAAGCGUGUUGUGAAAUAUACCGGCUCAACCGGUGGCUUGCAGCGCGAACUGGUCGACUUGAGUAUGCAGGAAGUAGGCGGAAUUCAUGGUGUAGCGGUGAAAUGCUUAGAUAUCAUGACGAACUCCGAUUGCGCAGGCAGCUUACUGUAGCAUAACUGACGCUGAUGCUCGAAAGUGCGGGUAUCAAACAGG
rnacentral:rRNA from 1 species